GGGCUGAAGUAGGUCCCAAGGGUAUGGCUGUUCGCCAUUUAAAGUGGUACGCGAGCUGGGUUUAGAACGUCGUGAGACAGUUCGGUCCCUAUCUGCCGUGGGCGCUGGAGAACUGAGGGGGGCUGCUCCUAGUACGAGAGGACCGGAGUGGACGCAUCACUGGUGUUCGGGUUGUCAUGCCAAUGGCACUGCCCGGUAGCUAAAUGCGGAAGAGAUAAGUGCUGAAAGCAUCUAAGCACGAAACUUGCCCCGAGAUGAGUUCUCCCUGACCCUUUAAGGGUCCUGAAGGAACGUUGAAGACGACGACGUUGAUAGGCCGGGUGUGUAAGCGCAGCGAUGCGUUGAGCUAACCGGUACUAAUGAACCGUGAGGCUUAACCUUACAACGCCGAAGGUGUUU
rnacentral:rRNA from 1 species